UGCAUCCUACGGGGGGCAGCAGUGGGGAAUAUUGGGCAAUGGGCGCAAGCCUGACCCAGCAACGCCGCGUGAAGGAAGAAGGCUUUCGGGUUGUAAACUUCUUUUGACAGGGAAGAGCAGAAGACGGUACCUGUCGAAUAAGCCACGGCUAACUACGUGCCAGCAGCCGCGGUAAUACGUAGGUGGCAAGCGUUGUCCGGAUUUACUGGGUGUAAAGGGCGUGUAGGCGGGACUGCAAGUCAGAUGUGAAAACCACGGGCUCAACCUGUGGCCUGCAUUUGAAACUGUAGUUCUUGAGUACUGGG
rnacentral:rRNA from 1 species